AAUGUCAAUAGUGUCAUAAUUUAACCUAAAUUUUAUUAGAGUUAUUUUUGUUUUAAAUUCAAAAUUCUUCUGUGAUAUUACUAUAGAAAAUUUUAUUAUGUUUAUUAAAUCUGUUAAAUCAUUAACAUCUUUUAAAGCCGAUUUGACAUUAAGAAAAUUAUGUAUGAAUACUAUGAAUGCACCAAAGUCGAAACGAUGUGAUUCAAAUUUCAAAAGAAAUUUUGGUCAACCUUCAUUUAAUACUCAUCCUCAUCUCAUUAAAGAAGGAGAAGUAACUCCUUUUAUAACAAAGUCGGAAUAUCAAGAUCGUAGAUGUAACCUUGUUGAAUGCAUACUCAAGCAUGCCGCUACUAAUAACAAGGAAAAAAGUCAUGUGAUAGUGAUUCCAGCUGCAUCUAAACAGUAUAUGUCAGACAAAAUCCCUUACGUCUUCCGUCAAAAUACAGAAUUCCUAUAUUUAACUGGCUGCCAGGAACCGGAUUGUUGUGUAGUAAUAACAGCUGAAUCGUCUGGCCAAUUAUGCACAACUUUUUUCACCAGAGAUAAAGAUGAACAUGCCGAAUUAUGGGAUGGCCCAAGAACUCAUCCAGAACAGGCUACUGAUUUCUUUGGUGUCGAACAGAGUUUGCCAAUCAGUGAAUUGGACAAUUUUUUGAAAUCGUACAGAAAAUCAAAUAAAAACUUAAUGCUAUGGUACGAUUUCCUGACACCUGUCCAAAACAGCGUACAUAAGGUUAUAAGCGAUUAUAUUAGUGAUAGUAGGAAUCAGAAAUGUGACAAUCCUAAGUCGUUUAUCCAUAGAUUGAGGCUGUACAAGAGCCCUGCAGAAAUUGCAUUAAUGCAAAAAUCUUGUGACAUUACGGCUAAAGCUUUCAAGGAAGCGAUGUCUAGUUCCAAGCCUUGUCUAGGCGAAAACCAAAUCUUUGCCGAAAUUGACUAUAGAUGUAGAAUGCAAGGAGCAGAAUACCUGGCAUAUCCCCCUGUCGUAGCAGGGGGAAGUCGGGCCACCAUUAUCCAUUACAUCAACAACAACCAGCUCAUUAAUGAUGGGGAAAUGGUACUGGUAGACGCAGGUUGUGAAUAUCAUGGUUAUUCGAGCGAUGUAACAAGAACGUGGCCGGUGAACGGUAAAUUUACACCCCAACAAAGAGAAAUAUACGAAGUGGUGUAUUCCGUUCAAGAAGAACUGAUCCAAAUGUGCUCUUCGUUGCCCACGUUAGACGCUCUAUUCGAAUCGAUGUGUUAUCUACUGGGUAAAAGGUUGCAGGAGAUCGGGUUGAUAGGAAUACAGCCAUCUAGUGAAUAUUUAAUGAAGACUGCCUAUCAGCUGUGCCCUCAUCAUGUGUCGCAUUACUUAGGAAUGGAUAUUCAUGAUACUCCGAUGAUUAAUAGGAACAUAAAUAUUGCGCCGGGAAUGAUAAUUACAAUCGAACCAGGUAUUUAUGUAUGUGAAAAGAAUAAAUCACUACCCAAAGAGUACCAAGGCAUUGGAAUAAGAAUCGAGGACGACAUUCUGAUCACCGUCAACGGACCCGUGGUGCUUAGUAGGAAAUGUCCGAAGCACAUAGACGAAAUAGAGAAAAUAGUGUGUCAAAAUCAGUGACGACAUAAUGUGUUGUAAAGAAAAGACCUCGCAAUGGAAUAAAUAAUGUACAAAUUUAAUUUCAAGAUAAGUAACAAGUUUUAUGGUUUUUCAGUUUAUUUAAAAAAUACAACCUUAACAAAAUAAAUUUUACAUUGGACAAAUAUAAACCUCU